GGCGGCGUCAAUAUUAAGAUUUCGAAUUGAUAAAGUGUUUUGAAUGGCUCUCCGUGAAAUUUUACGAAAGUUGGAAGAAAAAUGUUCAUGAUCAAAAGAGUAUCCAUCUAGCAAUAUAAUAAUGCUUUAAUUUUCCCGCAUUUAACGGAUAAAAGGUAUUCUUUCUGCAAUUAAUAAGUGGUCACAGUUUGGGCUUAAACUUUGUUAUUUAAUGAAUGGCUAUUAUCUAUUUUGAAUUUAUUGAACCAUAAAACUAAUUUUUGACUCUUCACAUUGAAUAAUCCGCGAAGCGGAUUAUGUAAAAUGUGAAGAGUCAAAAAUUAGUUUUAUGGUUCAAUAAAAUCAAAAUAAAUUAUUGCCAUUCAUUAUAAAUAAAUUUCUAUCAAAAAUAAUGCUCAAGGAACAUUUUAUAUUAUUUAUAUUAACAAUAACAACGUACACACAUGUUGGCGUAUGAAUACACAACGUCAGAGUGGGCGUGUCGCCAUCAAAAUUGACAACAUUGAAAAUAAAACUAAUGAUUUUAACCAAUCAGAAGACAGUGAAUACACCAA
rnacentral:lncRNA from 1 species